CAACAGGGCAUUGCCUUAGUAACGGCGAGUGAAGCGGCAAAAGCUCAAAUUUGAAAUCUGGCACCUUCGGUGUCCGAGUUGUAAUUUGUAGAAGGUAACUUUGGAAUUGGCUCUUGUCUAUGUUCCUUGGAACAGGACGUCACAGAGGGUGAGAAUCCCGUGCGAUGAGGUGCCCAAUUCUAUGUAAAGUGCUUUCGAAGAGUCGAGUUGUUUGGGAAUGCAGCUCUAAGUGGGUGGUAAAUUCCAUCUAAAGCUAAAUAUUGGCGAGAGACCGAUAGCGAACAAGUACAGUGAUGGAAAGAUGAAAAGAACUUUGAAAAGAGAGUGAAAAAGUACGUGAAAUUGUUGAAAGGGAAGGGCUUGAGAUCAGACUUGGUAUUUUGCGUUCCUUCCCCUCGUGGGUUGGUUCCUCGCAGCUUACCGGGCCAGCAUCGGUUUGGAUGGUAGGAUAAUGACAUUGGAAUGUGACACUACUUCGGUGGUGUGUUAUAGCCUUUGUUGAUACUGCCUGUCUAGACCGAGGACUGCGUCUUUGACUAGGAUGUUGGCAUAAUGAUCUUAAGUCGCCCGUCUUGAA
rnacentral:rRNA from 1 species